GUAACUGCCAAUGUGUCCUUAUGGAGACCCUGCUGUGGAAAUCUUAUGGUAUCAACAUUAUGCAAAGAUCUUUUGGUCAAAGACCGUAAAGAAAGUAUUGGCAGCCAGCUUGGAGCUGAUGAGUCAUGAAGAACAGAGAGCAUAUCCACGGAAAGCUGGGAGAUGGUGUAUGCCAUGGGCCCUGUCUAGAAGCUGCUAUCUCAUGCAGUCUCCUCAGUCAAUGCCAAAGCUGCAGGCUAUGUAAAGUGAGUGUAAUAGUUCAAAAUGGACACCGCUUGCAGAACCAGUUCAAAAUGGAUACCGCUGGGAUUGAUUUUGUGACAUGCACAAAUACAGGACAAUAUAGAUACAUUCACACUUUUCAUCUUAGCCUCUUGCUUACACCAUGUAUUUAUAGGUUUUUGGACAUAUAAUUCAAUUAUUUCUGGAAGUCUUUGUGUUUUGCCAGUUCAUCAUUUCUGUUAUAACAAAACUGUAAAUUAGGUUAUCGUUUGAAUCACCAAACCUAUGUGGAUGCAUUGUAUUUAUUCCUGAGUUUUAACAGUGCCAGGUCGAAUACAGAACACAGAAUAAAGGGCCUUGGACUGGA